GAAGCAGCAGGCGCGCAAAUUACCCACUCCCGGCACGGGGAGGUAGUGACGAAAAAUAACGAUACGGGACUCAUCCGAGGCCCCGUAAUCGGAAUGAGAACACUUUAAAACCUUUAACGAGUAUCCAUUGGAGGGCAAGUCUGGUGCCAGCAGCCGCGGUAAUUCCAGCUCCAAUAGCGUAUAUUAAAGUUGUUGCGGUUAAAAAGCUCGUAGUUGGAUCUGUGUCCCACGCUGUCGGUUCACCGUUCGUCGGUGUAACUGGCAUGCCCGUGCGGACGUCCUGCCGGUGGAUGCGGUCGGCCGCGGGGCCCCCUGGGUUCUGCGCGUCGGCGGUCCGAUUCAAUCCUACCGCGGUGCUCUUCACCGAGUGUCGAGGUGGGCCGGCACGUUUACUUUGAACAAAUUAGAGUGCUCAAAGCAGGCAGUGGUUCGCCUGAAUAUUGUGUGCAUGGAAUAAUGGAAUAGGACCUCGGUUCUAUUUUGUUGGUUUUCGGAACUUGAGGUAAUGAUUAACAGGGACAAACGGAGGCAUCCGUAUUGCGACGUUAGAGGUGAAAUUCUUGGAUCGUCGCAAGACGAACUUAAGCGAAAGCAUUUGCCGAGCGUGUUUUCAUUAAUCAAGAACGAAAGUUAGAGGUUCGAAGGCGAUCAGAUACCGCCCUAGUUCUAACCAUAAACGAUGCCAGCCAGCGAUCCGUCGAAGUUCCUCCGAUGACUCGGCGGGCAGCUUCCGGGAAACCAAAGCUUUUGGGUUCCGGGGGAAGUAUGGUUGCAAAGCUGAAACUUAAAGGAAUUGACGGAAGGGCACCACCAGGAGUGGAGCCUGCGGCUUAAUUUGACUCAACACGGGAAACCUCACCAGGCCCGGACACCGGAAGGAUUGACAGAUUGAGAGCUCUUUCUUGAUUCGGUGGGUGGUGGUGCAUGGCCGUUCUUAGUUGGUGGAGCGAUUGUCUG
rnacentral:rRNA from 1 species